rnacentral:lncRNA from 10 species
CUUUGAUAUCAGGAGUGAUGCAAUGAUGUUCGUUUUCACCUUCCUUAUUCAACAUUAUAUUGCAGGUCUUAUAUAGUCCAGGGCAAGAGGCAGAGGAGGAUAAAAUAAUUGAAAAUGAAUAUAUAGGAUAAUCUUGUAGUUCAUAAGCAUGAUGAUUGCCUUUUCACACUCGUAUGAGAUGUGCCUCCCUUGAACCUUGUUAUGAUGUUGGCACAUUACCCAUCAUGAAGUAGAAUCAGUGGGAGUCCUGAGCUUGUUUUCCUGCAACUAGACGGUCCCAUCUCAGGGUGAUGGGAGACAGUGACAGAUCAUCAGGCAUUAGAUUCUCAUAAGGAGCUCGCAACCUAGAUCCCUGGCAUGCGCAGUUCACAAUAGGGUUUGUGCUCCUACGAUGAUCUAAUGCCUCUGAUGCCACAGCUGAUCUGACAGAAGGCGGGGCUCAG